AUUGAACGCUAGCGGGAUGCCUUACACAUGCAAGUCGAACGGAGUGGCGAACGGGUGAGUAAUGUAUCGGAACGUGCCCAGUAGCGGGGGAUAACUACGCGAAAGCGUAGCUAAUACCGCAUACUAUUGGAGCGGCCGAUAUCGGAUUAGCUAGUUGGUGGGGUAACGGCUCACCAAGGCGACGAUCCGUAGCUGGUUUGAGAGGACGACCAGCCACACUGGGACUGAGACACGGCCCAGACUCCUACGGGAGGCAGCAGUGGGGAAUUUUGGACAAUGGGGGAAACCCUGAUCCAGCCAUCCCGCGUGUGCGAUGAAGGCCUUCGGGUUGUAAAGCACUUUUGGCAGGAAAGCGGUACCUGCAGAAUAAGCACCGGCUAACUACGUGCCAGCAGCCGCGGUAAUAC
rnacentral:rRNA from 1 species